ACUCGCCCAGCUGGCUGCCCGGCCCGCGGCGGCUCCACAAACAGCACCUCCAGGGCAGGGCGGGGGCGGGGGCCGGCUGGACCAGCCCGGAGGCACUGAAAGGUGGCGUGACGGCGAGUUCCCUUCCCCUGCCGGUGGUUUACAUAAGAGGGAGGCGAUGGCGAGGGGGCAACGCGAGGGGCUGGUGCUGCCGCCCACCGCCGGGCGCCUUGGCUGGGGCUGCUCUUGACAGAAGGGAUGCGCGCUGUCAGCGCGGGGGGCCUGGCGCGCGUGCAAGAGUCUGUGUGUGCACUGAGAACACAGAAAAAAGAAGCGUGGCUGCACUCGGCUGGCCGGCUCCGUCAGUGCCAGGUCCCUUCAAGCUGGCGCCGCAGGGACCCGGCGGAGGGAGAGGUGAGGGCGCCGCAGGGGCGGAGAUGGAUGCUUGCUGCGGACGACCACGGGGCCAAGGCUCACAAACAAAACCCACGGCAAACUGCCGGCAGCCCAGCCCAGGAAGGUGGCAGCCACUUGGCAGAGGAGGCACGGAGGACCCGGCUGGGAGCAGACGGAUGGGAGCGGUGGCCAGCAUGUCACAGCAGGAAGGAUGACUUCUCCAGGCCCUGCCCUCCUGCCAAGAACAGGAUAUCUGGACAGUGAGGACCUUGGAGUGUUGGGGGCACUCCCUGGGGUUUCCAUUUUGGCCCCCAGAUGCUCUGGGGAUGGAGGGUGCAGAAGAUCCCAGCUGGAGCCAUCCCUCCACUGCCCGUCCUGCUGAUGGCCCCGAGCAAGUCAGUGUCACGGACUCCUAGGCCCCAGAAAGACAGCCUCAUGGCGCUCUCAGCCUGGGCUUCAGUCCCCACCUGGCAAGCGGCUGUGGCCCUGCCUGCACAUGUGGCUUUAGUGGAAGUGGGUGCGUCGGAGUCCUGAGAAAGCCCAUCCCAGCAGGCCAGUUCCUGGGUGGGGCCCUCAGACGCAGACGGCGUCCUUGCCUCCUCCACUCUGUGGAGCUGGCCGACGCCUGCCACCUGUC
rnacentral:lncRNA from 1 species